GGGGCUGUAGUAGGUCCCAAGGGUUGGGCUGUUCGCCCAUUAAAGUGGUACGCGAGCUGGGUUCAGAACGUCGUGAGACAGUUCGGUCCCUAUCCGUCGCAGGCGUAGGAAAUUUGAGAAGACCUGUCCUUAGUACGAGAGGACCGGGAUGGACGUACCUCUGGUGUACCAGUUGUUCUGCCAAGGGCAUGGCUGGGUAGCUAUGUACGGAAUGGAUAAGCGCUGAAAGCAUCUAAGCGCGAAGCCAACUUCAAGAUAAGAUUUCCCACCGUAAGGGUAAGACCCCAGAAAGACUAUCUGGUUGAUAGGUCGAAGGUGUAAGUGCAGCAAUGUAUUUAGCUUAUCGAUACUAAUAGGUCGAGGACUUGACCAA
rnacentral:rRNA from 1 species